GAUGAACGCUGGCGGCGUGCCUAAUACAUGCAAGUCGAGCGAACGGACGAGAAGCUUGCUUUUCUGAUGUUAGCGGCGGACGGGUGAGUAACACGUGUAUAACCUACCUAUAAUACUGGUAUAACUUCGGGAAACCGGCGCUAAUACCGGAUAAUAUUUUGAUCCGCAUGGUUGAAAGGUGAAAGACGGUCUUGCUGGCACUUCUAGAUGGAUCCGCGCUGCAUUGGCUAGUUGGUAAGGUAACGGCUUACCAAGGCAACGAUGCAUAGCCGACCUGAGAGGGUGAUAGGCGACACUGGAACUGAGACACGGUCCAGACGCCUACGGGAGGCAGCAGUAGGGAAUCUUCCGCAAAGGGCGAAAGCCUGACGGAGCAACGCGGAGUGAGUGAUGAAGGUCUUCGGAUCGUAAAACUCUGUUAUUAGGGAAGAACAUAUGUGUAAGUAACUGUGCACAUAUUGACGGUACCGAAUCAGAAAGCCACGGCUAACUACGUG
rnacentral:rRNA from 1 species